rnacentral:rRNA from 1 species
GACAGGUGGUGCAUGGUUGUCGUCAGCUCGUGUCGUGAGAUGUUGGGUUAAGUCCCGCAACGAGCGCAACCCCUAUGUUAGUUGCCAUCAUUCAGUUGGGCACUCUAGCGAGACUGCCGGUAAUAAACCGGAGGAAGGUGGGAUGACGUCAAAUCAUCAUGCCCCUUAUGACCUGGGCUACACACGUGCUACAAUGGUUGGUACAACGAGUUGCGAGUCGGUGACGGCGAGCUAAUCUCUUAAAGCCAAUCUCAGUUCGGAUUGUAGGCUGCAACUCGCCUACAUGAAGUCGGAAUCGCUAGUAAUCGCGGAUCAGCACGCCGCGGUGAAUACGUUCCCGGGCCUU